UCUGGCGGCAGUAGCGCGGUGGUCCCACCUGACCCCAUGCCGAACUCAGAAGUGAAACGCCGUAGCGCCCCGAUGGUAGUGUGGGGUCUCCCCAUGCGAGAGUAGGGAACUGCCAGAC
rnacentral:rRNA from 1 species